rnacentral:rRNA from 1 species
CGGAGGGUGCAAGCGUUAUCCGGAUUUACUGGGUUUAAAGGGUGCGUAGGUGGGUCUGUAAGUCAGUGGUGAAAUCUCCGAGCUUAACUCGGAAACUGCCAUUGAUACUAUAGAUCUUGAAUUAUCUGGAGGUAAGCGGAAUAUGUCAUGUAGUGGUGAAAUGCUUAGAUAUGACAUAGAACACCAAUUGCGAAGGCAGCUUACUACGGAUCGAUUGACACUGAGGCACGAAAGCGUGGGGAUCAAACAGGAUUAGAUACCCUGGUAGUCCACGCCCUAAACGAUGGAUACUCGACAUUUGCGAUAUACUGUAAGUGUCUGAGCGAAAGCAUUAAGUAUCCCACCUGGGAAGUACGAUCGCAAGAUUG